rnacentral:tRNA from 1 species
CUUCUCGUGCUGUAGUGGUAACGCACCUGCCUAGUGAGUAGAAGUUGUGAGUUCGAAUCUCACCGAGAGGA